ACGCUCGACACCUACGGGAGCAGCAGUGGGGAAUAUUGCACAAUGGGGGAAACCCUGAUGCAGCGACGCCGCGUGAAGGAUGAAGUAUUUCGGUAUGUAAACUUCUAUCAGCAGGGAAGAAAGUGACGGUACCUGACUAAGAAGCCCCGGCUAACUACGUGCCGGCAGCCGCGGUAAUCUGAGCGGGCUGGCAAGGC
rnacentral:rRNA from 1 species